rnacentral:rRNA from 1 species
UUCCUACGGGGGGCAGCAGUGGGGAAUAUUGCACAAUGGGGGAAACCCUGAUGCAGCAACGCCGCGUGAGUGAAGAAGUCAUUCGUGAUGUAAAGCUCUAUCAGCAGGGAAGAAAAUGACGGUACCUGAGUAAGAAGCCCCGGCUAACUACGUGCCAGCAGCCGCGGUAAUACGUAGGGGGCAAGCGUUAUCCGGAAUUACUGGGUGUAAAGGGAGCGUAGACGGUGAUGCAAGUCUGGAGUGAAAGGCGGGGGCCCAACCCCCGGACUGCUCUGGAAACUGUAUGACUUGAGUGCAGGAGAGGG